rnacentral:rRNA from 1 species
UACGUAGGGGGCAAGCGUUGUCCGGAUUCAUUGGGCGUAAAGAGCGUGUAGGCGGCCAGGUAGGUCGGUUGUGAAAACUCGAGGCUCAACCUCGAGACGCCGAUGGAAACCAUCUGGCUAGAGUCCGGAAGAGGCGAGUGGAAUUCCUGGUGUAGCGGUGGAAUGCGCAGAUAUCAGGAGGAACACCGAUGGCGAAGGCAGCUCGCUGGGACGGUACUGACGCUGAGGCGCGAAAGCGUGGGGAGCGAACAGG